CUCGCAGAGCUUAUCUCCUCAGCUUCUUUUGAGUAAUCCACAUUCCCCGACCUCCACCUACUACCCAGGUAGCACGACCUCCCCGCAUCUCCCCGCCGCCACUACCUCCUGCGCCCGCCGCCGGCACUCCGCCGGAUCUCCUGCACCACCGGGCAUGGCGCGGGCUCCACACCAGCUCCCCCCACACUCCACCGGAUCUCCCGCACCACUACCGGGCCAUCCAUGGCGCAGGCUCCAACACCCGCUUCCCCCGUUUCCCCGGCCACGGCGCGGGCAUUUGGGCGUAGGCGGCCAUGCUCAUCCCAGCACCGGCCGUCUCAGUACCGUCCCGGUUUUCGUAUUCAGAUUGCUCUCUUCCCUCCUUGGCUAGGCAUCCAGUGCUGCUUUUUCUCUGGGAUGCGCUUUCUCCUCUUUGUUUGUUUGUGACAGCUGAGCCGUCUCUUCCGGUAGGUCGCGCAUCGGAAGAAGGCCGUCUCCCCCAGAAAGAAGUACCCGCGGCCUACCCUCGUCCCCGCUAUCCGCCGCCGACCGUACCUGGAUGGAUGCCUCCUAGAGGCCAAGCUUGCGCGUGGCUGCGGCAAUCCGGCUUUCUUGGCGUCAUACUCUAUCCACCAAAUGCGCAUUGGCGGUUGUGCAUUACGGCCUCUGCUUCCCUUCGUCGCGCCUGAUCCCUGAUGCAUGCCAAGGCGCCCGCGCCCUCAAGCUCCAGCACCAGCCCCGCCUUCCCGCGUCGCGCCGCAGCCCGCAUUCCUCUGCUCCGACCGCGCCCUCGCGCCUGACACCCGCGACAGCAACUCCUCCGGCCCUCGCCACACCGGCGACCACCAAGAACCCUAGUAUUUGCUUUAUUAGUAGGGAAAGAUUUACAACUAGAUCCUACUAACCACCAAGUCAAGGAACCUUGGAUCAAAACAACACAAGAAUCCCACUGCACGACACGACAGGGAUAGAUUGUGCUAGUAGAUUUACAUUCCAUACGACAGCGUAUGUCUCUCGUGUGUAAGAGCGCCUCCGACAGCAGCCGUAUAAUAACAUAGUCUAAAAACCAUACCGGAUCGGCAAUCGAUGGUUAUUUAA